GAUAAACGCUGGCGGCGUGCCUAAUACAUGCAAGUCGAGCGAACAGACGAGGAGCUUGCUCCUCUUAUGUUAGCGGCGGACGGGUGAGUAACACGUGGAUAACCUACCUAUAAGACUGGGAUAACUUCGGGAAACCGGAGCUAAUACCGGAUAACAUGUUGAACCGCAUGGUUCAACAGUGAAAGACGGUCUUGCUGUCACUUAUAGAUGGAUCCGCGCCGCAUUAGCUAGUUGGUAAGGUAACGGCUUACCAAGGCAACGAUGCGUAGCCGACCUGAGAGGGUGAUCGGCCACACUGGAACUGAGACACGGUCCAGACUCCUACGGGAGGCAGCAGUAGGGAAUCUUCCGCAAUGGGCGAAAGCCUGACGGAGCAACGCCGCGUGAGUGAAGAAGGUCUUCGGAUCGUAAAACUCUGUUAUUAGGGAAGAACAAAUGUGUAAGUAACUAUGCACGUCUUGACGGUACCUAAUCAGAAAGCCACGGCUAACUACGUG
rnacentral:rRNA from 1 species